AGAGUUUGAUCCUGGCUCAGGAUGAACGCUGGCGGCAUGCCUAAUACAUGCAAGUCGAACGAAGUCUUUAGGAAGCUUGCUUCCAAAGAGACUUAGUGGCGAACGGGUGAGUAACACGUAGGUAACCUGCCCAUGUGCCCGGGAUAACUGCUGGAAACGGUAGCUAAAACCGGAUAGGUAUGAGGGAGGCAUCUUCCUCAUAUUAAAGCACCUUCGGGUGUGAACAUGGAUGGACCUGCGGCGCAUUAGCUGGUUGGUGAGGUAACGGCCCACCAAGGCGAUGAUGCGUAGCCGACCUGAGAGGGUGAACGGCCACAUUGGGACUGAGACACGGCCCAAACUCCUACGGGAGGCAGCAGUAGGGAAUUUUCGUCAAUGGGGGGAACCCUGAACGAGCAAUGCCGCGUGUGUGAAGAAGGUCUUCGGAUCGUAAAGCACUGUUGUAAGUGAAGAAUGCCAUAUAGAGGAAAUGCUAUGUGGGUGACGGUAGCUUACCAGAAAGCCACGGCUAACUACGUGCCAGCAGCCGCGGUAAUACGUAGGUGGCAAGCGUUAUCCGGAAUCAUUGGGCGUAAAGGGUGCGUAGGUGGCACGAUAAGUCUGAAGUAAAAGGCAACAGCUCAACUGUUGUAUGCUUUGGAAACUGUCGAGCUAGAGUGCAGAAGAGGGCGAUGGAAUUCCAUGUGUAGCGGUAAAAUGCGUAGAUAUAUGGAGGAACACCAGUGGCGAAGGCGGUCGCCUGGUCUGUAACUGACACUGAUGCACGAAAGCGUGGGGAGCAAAUAGGAUUAGAUACCCUAGUAGUCCACGCCGUAAACGAUGAGAACUAAGUGUUGGAGAGAUUCAGUGCUGCAGUUAACGCAAUAAGUUCUCCGCCUGGGGAGUAUGCACGCAAGUGUGAAACUCAAAGGAAUUGACGGGGGCCCGCACAAGCGGUGGAGUAUGUGGUUUAAUUCGAAGCAACGCGAAGAACCUUACCAGGGCUUGACAUCCCACUAACGAAGCAGAGAUGCAUUAGGUGCCCUUCGGGGAAAGUGGAGACAGGUGGUGCAUGGUUGUCGUCAGCUCGUGUCGUGAGAUGUUGGGUUAA
rnacentral:rRNA from 1 species